rnacentral:lncRNA from 1 species
AGACAAAGUGUCGAGAAAGUUGCGAACCAGGUCGAUGACAUUCUCUAUCGUUUCAACUGUGAAUUUGAUGUCCUCCAUUGUAGAAUUGAAACAUUGAAGAGAGAAAUACAACUUGUACAAGACCUAAUCAGCAGACUGCAAACAUUCUGUUCCAGCGAAAAACCGCUGACGAGAAGCCAAACCGUUUCUCCAACGUUCAGA